AUACGUAGGGUGCGAGCGUUGUCCGGAAUUACUGGGCGUAAAGAGCUCGUAGGUGGUUUGUCGCGUCGUCUGUGAAAUUCCGGGGCUUAACUCCGGGCGUGCAGGCGAUACGGGCAUGACUUGAGUACUGUAGGGGAGACUGGAAUUCCUGGUGUAGCGGUGAAAUGCGCAGAUAUCAGGAGGAACACCGGUGGCGAAGGGGGGUCUCUGGGCAGUAACUGACGCUGAGGAGCGAAAGCAUGGGUAGCGAACAGGAUUAGAUACCCUGGUAGUCCAUGCCGUAAACGGUGGGCGCUAGGUGUAGGGGUCUUCCACGACUUCUGUGCCGUAGCUAACGCAUUAAGCGCCCCGCCUGGGGAGUACGGCCGCAAGGCUAAAACUCAAAUGAAUUGACGGGG
rnacentral:rRNA from 1 species